rnacentral:rRNA from 1 species
CCCAAGGGAAUGCCUCAGUAACGGCGAGUGAAGCGGCAAAAGCUCAAAUAAAUCUAGCACCUACGGUGUUCGAGUUGUAAUUUGAAGAUGGUCCUUGGGUUUGGCUCUUGUCUAUGUUCCUUGGAACAGGACGUCAUAGAGGGUGAGAAUCCCGUCUGAUGAGAUGCCCAUUCCUAUGUAAGGUGCUAUCGAAGAGUCGAGUUGUUUGGGAAUGCAGCUCUAAGUGGGUGGUAAAUUCCAUCUAAAGCUAAAUAUUGGCGAGAGACCGAUAGCGAACAAGUACAGUGAUGGAAAGAUGAAAAGAACUUUGAAAAGAGAGUGAAAAAGUACGUGAAAUUGUUGAAAGGGAAGGGCAUUAGAUCAGACUUGGUGUUUUACGAUUAUCUUCUCUUCUUGAGUUGUGCACUCGUAUUUCACUGGGCCAGCAUCGAUUCGGAUGGCAAGAUAAUGGCAUUGAAUGUGGCUUCACUUCGGUGGAGUGUUAUAGCUUCUGCUGAUAUUGCCUGUCUGGAUCGAGGGCUGCGUCUUUUGACUAGGAUGCUGGCGUAAUAAGAUCUAAUGCAAAGUCA